ACAUUACUUCAACUUUGGACCACAUUUGGUUAAUGUACGGCACAGUCAGCACUGGCUAACCAGAGUGUAAGCCUAAACUGGCCCACAUAUAAUGCAGCAAAUGUGGCCCAGUUAUCUUAAAACAUAUCUGGGCCAGUUUUGGCUAAAUUGUGGGACAGUAAUAACUGGCGAUUCUGAAUGUGAACCUAAAGUGGCCCACAAAUGGCAUAACAACUAUGGGCCAGAUACAUUAUUUCAACUUUGGACCACAUUUGGCUAAUGUACGGCACAGUCAGCACUGGCUAACCAGGAUGUAAGCCUAAACUGGCCCACAUAUAAUGCAGCAAAUGUGGCCCAGUUAUCUUAAAACAUAUCUGGGCCAGUUUUGGCUAAAUUGUGGGACAGUAAUAACUGGCAAAUCUGUAUGUGAACCUUAAGUGGCCCACAAAUGGCAUAAUAAAUAUGGCCCAGAUACAUUAUUUCAACUUUGGACCACAUUUGGCUAAUGUACGGCACAGUCAGCACUGGCUAACCAGGAUGUAAGCCUAAACUGGCCCACAUAUAAUGCAGCAAAUGUGGCCCAGUUAUCUUUAAUCUUAUCUGGGCCAGUUUUGGCAAAAUUGUGGGACAGUAGUCACUGGCAAUUCUGAAUGUGAACCUAAAGUGGCCCACAGAUGGCAUAACAAAUAUGGCCCAGAUACAUUAUUUCAACUUUGGACCACAUUUGGCUAAUGUACGGCACAGUCAGCACUGGCUAACCAGGAUGUAAGCCUAAACUGGCCCACAUAUAAUGCAGCAAAUGUGGCCCAGUUAUCUUAAAACAUAUCUGGGCCAGUUUUGGCUAAAUUGUGGGACAGUAAUAACUGGCAAAUCUGUAUGUGAACCUUAAGUGGCCCACAAAUGGCAUAAUAAAUAUGGCCCAGAUACAUUAUUUCAACUUUGGACCACAUUUGGCUAAUGUACGGCACAGUCAGCACUGGCUAACCAGGAUGUAAGCCUAAACUGGCCCACAUAUAAUGCAGCAAAUGUGGCCCAGUUAUCUUUAAUCUUAUCUGGGCCAGUUUUGGCAAAAUUGUGGGACAGUAGUCACUGGCAAUUCUGAAUGUGAACCUAAAGUGGCCCACAGAUGGCAUAACAAAUAUGGCCCAGAUACAUUAUUUCAACUUUGGACCACAUUUGGCUAAUGUACGGCACAGUCAGCACUGGCUAACCAGGAUGUAAGCCUAAACUGGCCCACAUAUAAUGCAGCAAAUGUGGCCCAGAUAUCUUAAAACAUAUCUGGACCAGUUUUGGCAAAGAUGACAGAGUGUAAUCACUGGCGAUUCUGAAUGUGAACUCCAACUGUACUCCAUUACUCCAACUUUGGACCAUAUUUGGCAUAUGUAUGGCACAGUCAGCACUGGCCAACCAGGGUGUAAGCUCAAAAUGGAACAGUAAGCAUGUUAAUAGUUCAUAACAAUUAGGUCCAAUGUUGGUAAAUAUUUGGUACAGUUGACACAGCAAAUAUGCUCUAAAUAUCAUAAAAAAACUAGGCUACUUCUGGCUUUGUAUGGAGCACCUUUUAAAACUGGUUAAUUUAAAUGUAUAGCUAAAAAUGGAGCUGAAAAUAUAUCAUUAAUACUUUUCAGGGAUAUUUGAUGUAGGAUGCAACACUUAAUUGUACAGGCUAAUCUGGAGAAGGCAGAUAUUUCAGGUUUUUUUAACAUAACUUUAUUGGUGUGUUUGUGUGUACAGGUAUAUGUGGUUUGUGAGGACACAAAUAUCUAUAAUGACAUUUGCAUUACAACCAAAUGGGUUAAAAACAUACAAAACUUUUUUCUUUUUUUAAUUCAAAACAUGCAGAAAGUUGUGUGUGGUGGGUAGGUUUAGGGCUAGGGGAGGGGGGAUGUACAAUAAAUGGGGAAGGGGGGUAAUAAUAAAUGAUGUUUUUGGAAAAUGUAAAUUGUAGAAAGUUUUCUGUGAUGGGUAGGUUUAAUGUAGAGGGAUAGGUUAUGCAGUUUGUACAGUAUAAAAACCAUUAUGUCUCUGCAUGGUCCCCAUAAAACAUGAAAACACAGCAUGUAUGUGUGUCUGUACUGUAGAGCAGAAACACAGAUGUGCACUAUUACAGCUCUUACAGUCAGUUAUGCUGUACAUGUACUGUAAGUAAAGUGUCUGAUUGAGAAAUGUGUACAACAUAGUUAAAAUUAGUGAACUAUGGUCUUGGAACAUAUAUUUAGUAGAGUGACAUUUUGAGCUGCUGUAUGUUAAAAUCUUUGCCAUGGUUUCAAGCAGAACAUAUUCCACUGUCCAUGUUUUGUUGAACUUGUAACAAUAUCCCAAGGACAAGUUAGUCCUAAUGCUACCCUAAACCUAACCCAACCCAUUAUCCUUAAAGUAAAUGAUAACCGGCACAAAACCCUGGUUGUAUGCAUAAACUUGACAUAAACUGUAAACUUGUCACUCAAAUAUGAUUGGUUGAAUGAAAUGCAGGAUUAACAAUGUAAGCAGGCAGUGUCAUUUUAUAAACUGCUUCAAGUGACCCUGAUAUUGUAAAAAGUACAUAAAUGAAUGAAUGAAUAAACUAAUAAAUAAAACAUUACAAAACAAACAUUAAUACAAAUAUUUAUUUUGCCUUACAUUUUAACUGAAUAUUGACAUUUAGAUUUAUAAAUGACUUUUUUAUUAGUAAAAAUAGCCUGUCAUAUUAUUAAUUGAUAAAUUAAAUUAUGAAUGGGUAAAUCAGCACAGCAUAAAACUGCAAUGAGAACAUUGUUUUUUGAUAUUAUUUGAUUUGAUAUUAGGCUAUUAACUUUUCAAACAUUUUGUAUUUUUAUUUUAUUAUUAUUAUCAUGUUAUAGGCUUCAGCUAACUUUAUUAGAGAUCAUUAUUUAAUAGAAUUCAAACUGGUUCGAAUUCCUAUUUCCGGCCCUUUAAAUUUAAAAGUAGGCGCGCGGAAAAGGCGCCUAAACAGCAGAGAGGAUCGGCUGGAGAAUUGACGGUUGAAAACUGCACAAAGUAAAGUCAAGAUCCUCCUGCUGUAAAAACCAGCAUUGACCAGCAUGAAUUCCCUUUCACUCACUGUUUCCCAACCUGCAGUCGGUUCAGCACGAAACAUCAGGCUCACAGCAACAGAUUAAGAAGAAUCCUGCAUCAAAAGAUGACUUCAACUUGCAUGUGAGACAGAGUGAGAAGAGAAAAAGAGGAAUGAAGAUGGACUGUCUAAGAAACCUGUUUUGUUCAUAACGGAACUUGCAUCUAUCUCCCACGAAUGUAGAAUGCUGAAGGCGAGCAGAAAUGAGAAAAGUUAUGCUACAGCUCUCUGUUUGCAGCACGUCAGUCACGCUCGUCGGGAAAGUUACCAUAGUCAGCUGGAUCCCCUCCAAAUCCAGAUCAGAUGGUGGACCUGCAUCUUGGCAUGACCACGACGCAAGCCUAAAUGUCAACGAAGACCAUGUCAACUAGACAAGCCAGACAGAUCCCCUGUGAGAACUUCGUUGACAGCCAUCGGCAAAGAUCCUCAGCAAAGACCACAAGAACCAGACAAGUCCUCUGCACAGACCCCUACGGCUAGCUUCAACUCUAUGCCGGCGUGUUGUAUCUUGAUCUUCAAACUGAUGGAACCAUAUGAAAUAUUCUAGAUUAUACCAAUCCACAAUCUGACUUGUGUUGCUGCCUGAAUCACAUCACACCAUAUUCGUUCAUUGGCCAGAGGAGAACUGGUCCCUGACUGAGCCUGGUUUCUCCCAAGGUUUUUUUUUCUUCUCCAUUUUUGUAACCUGAUGGAUUUUGGGUUCCUUACCCCUGUUGCCUUUGGCUUGCUAAGUUUGGGACACUUAAUAUUCAGCAAUAAUAUUGAUUUGAUUGCACUGACACUAUCAUAUGAGAACUGAACUGAGCUGGACGAUGACAUCACUGUUUUUUGCAGAGCUGCUUUAUAACAAAUUGAACUGAUUUCAUAAUUGAUUAACUUUAUACAGCUAUUGAACAGAACUGAAUUAAAACAUACUGACUUCAGCUGAACAAUGACACUAUUUCUUUUAGAGCUGCUUUACAGCAGAAUUGAACUGGAAUAAUUGAAUCAUUCUCCUGUUUAUACCUGUAAAGCUGCUUUGAAACAGUCUAUAAAGUGUUAAAUUAAAGGUGACUUGACUUUUGAAAUA